AGAGUUUGAUCAUGGCUCAGGAUGAACGCUAGCGACAGGCUUAACACAUGCAAGUCGAGGGGCAGCAUGAUUUGUAGCAAUACAGAUUGAUGGCGACCGGCGCACGGGUGAGUAACGCGUAUGCAACUUACCUAUCAGAGGGGGAUAGCCCGGCGAAAGUCGGAUUAAUACCCCAUAAAACAGGGGUCCCGCAUGGGAAUAUUUGUUAAAGAUUCAUCGCUGAUAGAUAGGCAUGCGUUCCAUUAGGCAGUUGGCGGGGUAACGGCCCACAAACCGACGAUGGAUAGGGGUUCUGGAGAGGAAGGUCCCCCANAUUGGUACUGAGACACGGACCAAACUCCUACGGGAGGCA
rnacentral:rRNA from 1 species